rnacentral:lncRNA from 1 species
CCCCCAUCCCCCCAUUCAUGGCUGAGUACGGGCUACUGUCCCCCGCAGCUUAGGGCUGAGGCAAACGCAAAAGGAACAGCUGUGAUGUGCCUGUCCUGGCCACACAGGUCUCCCUCUUGAUAGGUUGAUGGAUGGGGGUCUGAGGCUUUUGGACCCUUUCCACAGUUUGUUCCUCCCCCUGGGACUCAGUCCAGCCGUUUUUUUUGUCCCCAAUUAUGGCUGGGGACUGUGUCCCAUGUCACGAGCCUUUACAGAGGAUGUGCAGGCCCCGCCUAUGCCUGGCUGCCCACCUGCUCUUCUCUACCUGCUGGCUCCCCCCUGCUUCUACAGUGCCAGGGUUCAUCGCCCACUUGGCAUUCUGCUUGCAUAGCCUUAUUCCAUGGUGUCUCCCUAACACCCACCUGUGCUUCGGUGUCACUGGGUCAUCCUAUUCCAACCUCUCCCUCGGGUUUCAGCCACCCCUACCCCUGCUUUAAAGUCUGGCUUCCCUUGCUAAAGCCACACUGUGGCUAACCUGGCCCACCCGCUGCCCUUAGCCUUGCCAUCAGGUCCCCAUACCAUUGUGCUCUUCCUCCAUCCCCUCCACCUCCCUCCACCUCCCCAAACUCACCUCAGUUGCCAACAGCCUCCCCGUGCCUGUUGGACAAUCCCUUGCUGGUUCUUCAUCUCCCGUGGGCCUAGUUUCCAGGGGCUGAGUGACCAGGGUCUUAAAACAGGUUUAUGCCUUGGCCUGCUGGCCCUGGAGAUCCCAUCGUCGGCUUCGUCGAACUCAAAGUCGUCGCCCUACCCUGGCCCGUCGCGUCUUCCUGUGCCAUUUCCUGUUGUGCUCAGGUUCCACGAGCUGCCCAUCUCCAGAGAAGAGCAGCUGGCAUUGCCCACCGGCCGUGCUGGCUGAAGAAGAGAGGACAUGAGGACCCCAGGAUGCCCAGCGUGAGGACCCCAGGACACCCAGCGCGAGGACCCCAGGACGCCCAGCUCGAGGACCCCAGGACGCCCAGCGCGAGGACCCCAGGACGCCCAGCGCGAGGACCCCAGGACGCCCAGCGCGAGGACCCCAGGACGCCCAGCGCGAGGACUCCACAUCCUUACGUUGCAACCCUCCUGGAAUAGGCCAACAUCGUCAUCACCUGGAAUCCUGCGUGGGACCCUGGACACAUGGACACAGAGCCUGCCCAUAGGACCUUCCAACUGUAAAUCGAUUGGAAGCGCCCUUCUGAGCCGAGGCCUUCAAAGGGCUGAGGAGAAAAUGCAGUCCGAGAGACCAGCUCCUCAAAUAGGCUUCAAGCCUCCAUGACCUGAGCCCACCCCCUGGAAAUGUCUGGAAAGCAUAAUGGGCAGGUUUUCUGUCUUCAAAGUUUCCAUCGAAACCUCUUCAAGUUCCUUAUUGUUUAGGACUGAGACACUUGGGGACGGUAAUGGGGACUUUCUUUUGUAUCUGUCUUGAAAGGCCAAAAUAUUUUUAUAUUGCUGUAGACAAAGCCACCUAUUUACAAAUGAACUCUGUUCCGUCGUUUCCCACCAGGAAGGCUGUACUGUGUUUGUAUCUCUAUGUAUGCUGGGGUCUUGAAACAGGUUUCUCAUGGGGAUGGCCAUUCACUGGGGCCCAGAGGGGCAGAAAGGGAAGUGUCUACCCAGCCAAGGGGGUCUGGGGAAGGAGGGGUCUAGUCUCAGAUUUGCUCCUUGUAUGUCUAGGGUAAACCCUGGGAGAAUCUGGUAGUAAAAGAACAUAUGCUGUGUUUGCACCACAUCUGCCAUUUGUGUGUGUUUCUGGGCUAUAGGUUUGUACACUUUAGAGCUUAACAUGGUGGGAGGAAGUAAGAAGGGCCAAGAGGGCACGGGCGCUCUGGUUUUCUUGUCGGGAAGCUGUUUCACUGGUGUGUGUUACAUCACAUAAUGCAUGUUUGGCUGGGCAAGUGAAAGCAGCGUGAAGGGGUAGGGAACAAACAGGUACAGAAGGGAAGGAAGCAACUGAGGGGGGAGCACGCAGUCAUCGUCCGGUCUCAUUGGCGCCUAGUCAGUCGAUAUGUAAAUCAAUAAAAUGACUAGCUGAUAGCUAUUGGGUCAUCAUGAACCUGAGGGUUUUUUUUUUUUUUUAAUUGAAGAAGGAAUCCUAAAGGACAGAAGGAAGGGGAAGAAGAGUUGUCCAAACCAGCUCUGAGGUUUUCGAGUCCCCUUAAUAUAAGCAGAUAGAUGACGGUGGGAUCAGAGAGAGAGAAGGAAGCAGGAAAGAGAGAAAACAAACAAGAUGCCUAAAAUCUAAGCACGUAAGGGGAUAUGUGAACAUGCAAGGAGAACCCAGCUGGGUUAGCAUUGGGGUACCCCAGCUCCAAGGGGAUGAGAGACAGCAAGUAAGAAAGUGAGAAUGCAUGAGAAACAAUAAAAAGACAGAGAGGAAGAGGGAGAGAGAGAGAAGGGGGAGGGGGAAGAGAGAGAGACAGACAGACAGAGGGAGAGAAACAGAGACAGAGAGACAGAGACACACACAGACAGAGACAGAGACACACACAGACAGAGACAUAGAGAGAGACACAGAGAGACUCACAGAGAGAGACACAGACACAGAGACACAUACACAGAGAGAGACAAAGAGAGACAGAGACACAUACACAGAGAGACAGAGAUAGAGAGACAUAGAGACAGACAUAGAGACAGACACAGACAGACAGAGAGACAGAGACAGAGAGAAAGAGACAGAGAUAGAGAGACAGAGAGAGUCAUAGAGACAGAGACAGACAGAGAGAUACAGAGAGAGACAGAGACAGAGAGAUAUAGAGAGACAGAGAGAGAAAGAGACAGAGAGAUAUAGAGAGACACAGAGAGAGAAAGAGACAGAGACAGACAGAGAGACACAGAGAGAGACAGAGACAGAGAAGAGCAGAUAGAUGAGGAGCUUCAGGGGAGUCUUUAGCUAGGUUUCACAAUCUGACCACUUAAUUCUACCAGCAGAGGCUUAAACACUAAAAAGAAGGCAAGCCGGCAGAAAGGAUGGUAGUUGUGAAAGGCGCAGAGGAGAGAAAGCGAUAGGAAGUGCAGUCCUGUGGAGGGAUGUUUGCAGGUGACCCGAUUUACCAGCCAGUGCAGCUGAGAAAGACAGCCAGGGACACAAAGGAGGAGAAGAAAGGUAAUAAUAGGCCCACAGAUAGGUAGAUGAAUGUAGCUAGAAGACAGAGCCCUGCUAGGGACAGGAUGAGAGGCUGUGUCAGCAGAUUGGUUAAUUCCCAUCUGUGCUUCUGAGAUGGACGACGACCCACCCGACCAAGAGACCUUUCAGGCUUCAAGAUAUCAGGGAGGGCUUCAAUGGGGCAGUGGAGGGGAGGCCCAUUAAUAGCAGAUUAUGAUGUCUCCAAUUAGAUGCACCUGCCCUCUGGAAGUGUGGAGACCAGUAUUGAAAUGGAAAGAAAGACUGAAUGGAAGCCCCCCGAGAGUAGAAUGAGAGAGUAGAAUGAAUGGAUGAGAAAAAAGAUUUGCAUUCACUCUGGGGGGAGGGUGCUGAGGAGCCCCAGGGUCACCUGAUCUCCCGGGAAUGAAAGGGCGGGCGAGGGAGUGAUAGAAAGUGACAAUAAGGUGGGGGAGAGAUGAAAAGGGGCGCAGAAGAUAAUAAGUGAGACAAUUAAGUCUAGGAGAGGGGCUUGUUUAACACAACUCAUCCAUAUUAAUUCAAAAUUGAGGCCCAGGGAUGGGCCGGAGCUGGGGCGGGGGUGUGUGUGUGUGUGAAGCCUAGCAUGUGCCAAGCUCUGGUUCUAUCUCCUCUGCCUUGCAAGACAAACGCAGGAAACCAAAUUAUAGCCCGGAGGCUGUAAAAUGUUGUUGUUGAUGAUUUGGGGACAAAGAGCUAGAUCAGUUGGAAGAUAGAGCCGAAGGAAGACGUAGGAAAGAUUUAGAUGAACACGAGGGGAAACAGCAGCUCAUAGAUAAGUGUUUAAAUGCGGUGAAGACGUAUCUGUUGGGUGGGUCAGGCAAGGAAAGAGCAAACACAGAAAAGAAACAAGUUUAGGAGUGGCCCUAGAAGCGGGGACUUGAGUAAAUCACCGUGAUGCUCAAGCCGUGUAAGGGAUAAAAGAUGUACAAAAGAGAUAAAGGAAGACAUACAGAAGAGGGGCAGGACAGACAGACGCUCGAGAAGGCUGAGGGCAUAAUGAAUAUACAUGGAGACUUGUGCCUGAGAAGGGCAUAUAGGGAUGAGAGACACAGACACACACACACACACACACACACACACACACACACACACACACACACACACACACACAGAGAGAGAGAGAGAGAGAGAGAGAGAGAGAGAGAGAGAGAGAGAAGAGAGAGCGCAGUGAGAAUUAUGCUUAAUUCAAAACCGGGCUCCUGAGAUAACUAAAUGUCUCCUGAACCCAAGCACCAGCACAGGGGAUUAAAUAACAAAAGAGCUUCAGGCAGAUCCAUUUGGAGAAGGCUUGGGACCCUCGGAUCAUGCUUAAUCUAAAUCUGUGCACCUGAGGUCCAUAAAUAAAAGAAUAAAUAUUGAAAUAAAAGAGUGACAGAAAGGGUGAAUGAGCGCACAGGAACGAAUUAGACAUGGAAGUGGUCAUAGCAGCCUGGAAGGAGUGGCCCAUGGGACUUCUGCUCAUCUUAUCCGGGGCACCUGAGGUCCCGUAGUGAGAAGAUGCAGGGAGAAGAGGAGAAGGGAAAGGCGUGAGAGAAAAUGCAAGAGAGGGGGAGGAAAUGAGAAAGUAGCAAGGAGAGGAAGCGAUCUGUGGGUGCCUCGGAAGAGGAACAUCCACCAGGAUUAAUAAGGAGGCUCUCAUUAAUCCUAAAGAUCGAUGAGGUAAUCCAGACCCAGGUUCUAACGGGGAGGGAGAAUGGAGAGAAUUAAAAAAAAAAAAAGAGAGAGAGAGAGAGACGCAAAAAAGGAGAGAAGACAAUAAAACGAGCAACAUGAUAAAUGGGUAAUUAAGAGAGGCUGUCUGGACAGAAACAAUAAUGAGUUCCCAUGCAUAGUCCUUAAAUAGAUAAAUACAUUAUACCUUUCAAAGAAUGCGUGAAAAAUCGAGGAACACCACGGCCCCCAAACAAGGCUGCACCUUCCAUUGCUGUAAUAAAAUACAUGCAGCGGAGGGCCAUAAAUAACAGUAAAUACUUAAAUGUAAAAGGUGACCAGACAGAGGGGGAAGAUUGCAAGCCCAGAUACACGAGGGAGGCGAUGUUUGGUUCGCAUGUGUAAUACAAUUAUGUUCACAGGAAAUUAAUAGAUUAAAAAAAAAAACCCAUCCAAACUAAGGCAGAGGAAAGACGAGGAAGGGAAACGAGAUCUGAGAGAUGGGGCAGAGACCCGGCUGGGCUCAGGACUCCUCCUUCUAUUCUGCUCACUGAGAUUGUCAGGGCUGGAGAAGAAAGCGGAGGUCUGGGUGGGUGGGCAGAUGGAUAGGAAAGGAAUUAAAAGCUACAUGGGGAAAAGGAAGAGGGAUUUAUAAAGUGGGGGCUCCAAGAGGUUAUGUCUUACUUAAAACUGUGCUGUUGUUGCCCCCCAAAGGAAUCAAAUCUUAAUGCUUUUGUGAAGGAAGAGAAGAUGGUUACAAUGUAGCAGGAAAAGAGGAGGGGGGGGAGCAGGGAGAGAGGGAGGGGCUUGCAUGUGCUAAACGCCCACUGGGAUCAGUAACAGAUAGCUAUUUAACUCCCGAAGGCUGCUUCCACACAGCCUAAAUGACUGGGAGCAGCUAGCUGAGAUGUCCCUAACCUUGGAUCAUCACUGACAUUUCCUGCUUGCUGGGGGUCCGGGGGCAUUUCACUGUCUGUCACAUCUUCACUCCAUAAACACAUCCCUGCAUAGUGCUCUAUCCAUAGGAUAGGAGGGAAGGGCUCAGGCCUGGGGCCUGUAGAUGGUUCUAUGAAUAAGGGCGCUAUGCCCAGUGAGUACCUUGACUCCUCCCUGGGAAAGGAUCCCUUCUGAUCCUGAUGUGAGGGGGCUUAGCCAGCCAAAGGGCAGGAGGCGGUGAGGGGAUAGGAGGCCUUGCCUGCAUCAUACCAUCUUGAGGUGUGACUUACACCCAGGGUCUGGUGCAGACAAAGCCAAUGUGACCUGGAAGCCCAGAGGCUCAAGAGCCCCUGGGUGAAGCAAGUAUUUUUGUUCAUGAAGCUCUCUGAGAUCAAGCCUAUCUCAGUUCAGAGUACUAGCAAGGGUUAUCUCUACAUAGGUUUUCAUAUAUGAUCCUGGGUCCCAGCUCCUAGACAUAUAUGCCACCUCUGGAACCCGUUUCAAGGCCCCUCUUCCAGAAUGUUUAAACCUUGUGUUCUGUAACCAGUAAAAUGCGCGUUUGUACUGUGGAUUGGAACUGUCUUUUUAUUGGCCCUCAUGGGCUGCUGGGGGAGACCCGGAGAGUUGUCCUGCUUCUGUCCUGUUUUCUUUCUCUGUUGUGGACAAGAUAUGUAGGGUUGUGUGUUGUAUGCUUGUGUCUGGCCAUUAAAAAAAAAAAAAAAAG